AUAUGAGAUCUGGGCCUUUGUCCCACUUAUCUUCCUGGAAGCAGUAGAAUUGCGUAGUUUUUAUUGUUUCUUCAGCCGUUUGUCCGCCGCAGAUAAUAGCCGAGUAUUUCCCCAUUGAAAUUGGAUGAAUUUUUGAAUCAAGAAUUCCUUUACUUAGAGGUUUUAUAUAAGUUGAGGUAUUCUCAAUCGAUGAAGAUGAAAUGUUAAAAAGUUCUCCCGAGCAUAAAACAUCAUUUUUUUCGUCUAUUCCACCCCAAAUACAUACCUUACCAAAUGAUGCAAAAGCUAUGGAUCCAGAUCUCACUUCUAGUAACUCUUUUGAUUGAAUUAGUUCCCAUUGGUUUCUUCUAGUGUCGAAAACUUCUAUAGAUUUCAAUCUCUUGUUUCCACAUGUUCCACCAAUAAUUGCAAUACUAAAUUGGUCAAGUUUAACGCAUGAUGCAGAAGAUCUAGGAACAUUUAACUGUGGUGAAACCGACCAAAAUUUUGUUCUAGAAUCAUAGAACUCAGUUGAUGAAAUGAUAUUUUCCCCGUUAAAUCCACCUAUCGCAAAUAUUCUUCCAUCUUCAAGGGUUAUUGAUGCCAAAUUCCGUCUUCCAAUAAGCAUGGAAGGCCCUACUCUCCAUGAAUCUGUUAGAGGAUCAUAUAUUUCCAGACUAUCUAACGCCUUACUUGAAUUAUUGUAUCCUCCAAACAAGGCACAGUUCGACUUGUCAAGGUUAGUACUCGAACCAUGAGCUCUGGGUGUUGGCAUAGUUUUUACUUUGCUCCAACCAAUAUUUUUGUUUAUUUCUUCCGAAAAGUCAUCCUCCAGAUAAAUUGGAGUAAUGAACAGCUCAGAAGUAUCAAGAAUCUUUUCACCAUUACAACCCCCGAAAACAUAUAUCAAAGAGUUAUCGUAAAAUUUAAUCCCAAAGUAAUUAAAUUCUUUUAAAAUAUUAAGACUCAUUUGGGUUGUUGUAGGAGAUGGAAGACACUUUGCGCUAUCUCUAAGAUAGUUUAUAAUUAUUUUAAAAAUUUCCGGAUCUCUAUCAAAAAAUAUAUUUCCAUUUUUAUCCGUUUCAAUUUCAAUAUCAAGCGUUUUAUCUGAAAAUAUUCUACUUAGUAAACUUCCCUUUGCCUUUCCUUCAGUUAAUAUGCUCCUCGAAACCUCAAACAUAGUUCCACCAACAUUAAUUUCAACAGUGGAUCUUGCAGAGAAAUUUAUUUCUGUUAUUUUAUCUUUAAUUUUCUCUAAUUCUAA
rnacentral:antisense_RNA from 1 species